rnacentral:rRNA from 1 species
AGCGAACGCUGGCGGCAGGCCUAACACAUGCAAGUCGAACGAACCCUUCGGGGUUAGUGGCGGACGGGUGAGUAACACGUGGGAACGUGCCUUUAGGUUCGGAAUAACUCAGGGAAACUUGUGCUAAUACCGAAUGUGCCCUUCGGGGGAAAGAUUUACCGCCUUUAGAGCGGCCCGCGUCUGAUUAGCUAGUUGGUGAGGUAAUGGCUCACCAAGGCUACGAUCAGUAGCUGGUCUGAGAGGAUGACCAGCCACAUUGGGACUGAGACACGGCCCAAACUCCUACGGGAGGCAGCAGUGGGGAAUCUUGCGCAAUGGGCGAAAGCCUGACGCAGCCAUGCCGCGUGGAUGAUGAAGGUCUUAGGAUUGUAAAAUCCUUUCACCGGUGAAGAUAAUGACGGUGGUCGGAGAAGAAGCCCCGGCUAACUUCGUGCCAGCCGCCGCGGUAAUAC